UUCCAGACUCCUACGGGAGGCAGCAGUGGGGGAUAUUGCACAAUGGGGGAAACCCUGAUGCAGCGACGCCGCGUGUGGGAAGACGGUCCUCUGGAUUGUAAACCACUGUCCCCAGGGACGAAGAUGACGGUACCUGGGGAGGAAGCUCCGGCUAACUACGUGCCAGCAGCCGCGGUAAUACGGAGGAUGCGAGCGUUAUCCGGAUUUACUGGGUGUAAAGGGAGCGUAGACGGCAGUGCAAGUCUGAAGUGAAAGGCGGGGGCCCAACCCCCGGACUGCUUUGGAAACUGUGCUGCUGGAGUGCAGGAGAGGCAAGUGGAAUUCCUAGUGUAGCGGUGAAAUGCGUAGAUAUUAGGAGGAACACCAGUGGCGAAGGCGGCUUGCUGGACUGUAACUGACGUUGAGGCUCGAAAGCGUGGGGAGCAAACAGGAUUAGAUACCCGUGUAA
rnacentral:rRNA from 1 species